AUGCUGGAGUACGUCAUAACCGUCGGCGUCGGCUCGCUGGCGGUGCAGCAGACCAUGACCAUGGACACCGGGAGCGACGUGUCGUGGGUGCACUGCAACUCCAACUCCACGGCCGGGUCGCCGCCCUUCGACCCCGCCAAGUCGGCCACGUACGCCGCGUUCCCGUGCGGCGCCCCGGCGUGCACACAGCUCGGUGCGGAGGCCAACGCCUGCUCCAACUCGCAGUGCCAGUACAUGGUCCGCUACGGCGACGGCUCCAACACCACCGGCACGUACGGCUACGACACGCUGGCGCUGGGCUCGGACACGGUCAAGGGCUUCCAGUUCGGCUGCAGCCGCGUCGAGGAGGGGUUCGGCGACAAGACCGACGGGCUCAUGGGGCUCGGCGGCGACGCGCAGUCGCUCAUCUCGCAGACCGCGGCGACGUACGGCAGGGCCUUCUCCUACUGCCUCCCGCCUUCCCCCGGCUCCAAGGGGUUCCUGACGCUCGGCGUGCAGACCAGCACGGCGGGCUUCGCGACCACGGGGAUGCUCCGAAGCGAGCAGGCCCCGACGUUCUACGGCGUGCUCCUCCAGGGCAUCAAGGUCGGCGGUGAGCAGCUCAGCGUGGCGCCCUCCGUCUUCUCUGCCGGGUCCGUGAUGGACUCCGGGACCAUCAUCACGCGGCUGCCGCCCACGGCGUACACAUCGCUCAAGACGGCGUUCAAGGACGGCAUGAAGCAGUACCCGACGGCGCCGUCCAGGAGCAUCCUGGACACGUGCUUCGACUUCAGCGGCCAGGACAACGUCAGCAUACCGACCGUCGCUCUGAUGUUCGACGGCGGCGCGGUCGUCGACCUCGACGCGAACGGGAUCAUAUUCGGCAGCUGCCUCGCGUUCACGACCGAGCCGGGCCACUAA
rnacentral:rRNA from 1 species